AGAGGAGCUUGCUCUUCUUGGAUGAGUUGCGAACGGGUGAGUAACGCGUAGGUAACCUGCCUUGUAGCGGGGGAUAACUAUUGGAAACGAUAGCUAAUACCGCAUAACAAUGGAUGACACAUGUCAUUUAUUUGAAAGGGGCAAUUGCUCCACUACAAGAUGGACCUGCGUUGUAUUAGCUAGUAGGUGAGGUAAUGGCUCACCUAGGCGACGAUACAUAGCCGACCUGAGAGGGUGAUCGGCCACACUGGGACUGAGACACGGCCCAGACUCCUACGGGAGGCAGCAGUAGGGAAUCUUCGGCAAUGGGGGCAACCCUGACCGAGCAACGCCGCGUGAGUGAAGAAGGUUUUCGGAUCGUAAAGCUCUGUUGUAAGUCAAGAACGGGUGUGAGAGUGGAAAGUUCACACUGUGACGGUAGCUUACCAGAAAGGGACGGCUAACUACGUGCCAGCAGCCGCGGUAAUACGUAGGUCCCGAGCGUUGUCCGGAUUUAUUGGGCGUAAAGCGAGCGCAGGCGGUUUGAUAAGUCUGAAGUUAAAGGCUGUGGCUCAACCAUAGUUCGCUUUGGAAACUGUCAAACUUGAGUGCAGAAGGGGAGAGUGGAAUUCCAUGUGUAGCGGUGAAAUGCGUAGAUAUAUGGAGGAACACCGGUGGCGAAAGCGGCUCUCUGGUCUGUAACUGACGCUGAGGCUCGAAAGCGUGGGGAGCGAACAGGAUUAGAUACCCUGGUAGUCCACGCCGUAAACGAUGAGUGCUAGGUGUUGGAUCCUUUCCGGGAUUCAGUGCCGCAGCUAACGCAUUAAGCACUCCGCCUGGGGAGUACGACCGCAAGGUUGAAACUCAAAGGAAUUGACGGGGGCCCGCACAAGCGGUGGAGCAUGUGGUUUAAUUCGAAGCAACGCGAAGAACCUUACCAGGUCUUGACAUCCCGAUGCUAUUUCUAGAGAUAGAAAGUUACUUCGGUACAUCGGUGACAGGUGGUGCAUGGUUGUCGUCAGCUCGUGUCGUGAGAUGUUGGGUUAAGUCCCGCAACGAGCGCAACCCCUAUUGUUAGUUGCCAUCAUUCAGUUGGGCACUCUAGCGAGACUGCCGGUAAUAAACCGGAGGAAGGUGGGGAUGACGUCAAAUCAUCAUGCCCCUUAUGACCUGGGCUACACACGUGCUACAAUGGUUGGUACAACGAGUUGCGAGUCGGUGACGGCGAGCUAAUCUCUUAAAGCCAAUCUCAGUUCGGAUUGUAGGCUGCAACUCGCCUACAUGAAGUCGGAAUCGCUAGUAAUCGCGGAUCAGCACGCCGCGGUGAAUACGUUCCCGGGCCUUGUACACACCGCCCGUCACACCACGAGAGUUUGUAAC
rnacentral:rRNA from 1 species